rnacentral:rRNA from 1 species
UACGAAGGGGGCUAGCGUUGCUCGGAAUCACUGGGCGUAAAGCGCACGUAGGCGGAUCUUUAAGUCAGGGGGGAAAUCCUGGAGCUCAACUCCAGAACUGCCUUUGAUACUGGGGAUCUCGAGUCCGGAAGAGGUGAGUGGAACUCCGAGUGUAGAGGUGAAAUUCGUAGAUAUUCGGAAGAACACCAGUGGCGAAGGCGGCUCACUGGUCCGGUACUGACGCUGAUGUGCGAAAGCGUGGGGAGCAAACAGG